rnacentral:pre_miRNA from 1 species
UUGGGGUGGUCUUGUUUUUGUUUGUUUUUUUUUUUUUUUGUUUGCAGCUCUCUGUUAGUUUUGCAUAGUUGCACUACAAGAAGAAUGUAGUUGUGCAAAUCUAUGCAAAACUGACGGUGGCCUGCUAUUUCCUACAUCGA